GGUGCCUAAAAUACCCUUGAAAAUUCAUAUAUUCAUUAUCUCUUUUCCUCUCAAAAAAAAAGUCUGAGUCAAACACAGAUAAUUUUCUGAGUAAGAAUAGACUACUUUUAGCAAUACUUUUUAACACUACGUUUCAGUAGUGUAAGAGACCAUGGCACUGCCCACUUCUGCCAUUAAACGGAUUGGGAAAAAAAAACUGAACAUAGAGAUCUAAUGAGUCAUUUCUCUACACCUCUGAUGACAAAUCUUCAGUGUGACAUCAUACUUUUCUAGAACUUUGUGUAUUCCAUGAAUACAAACUGUCUUACAAGUUAAAUAUAAUGUACUUUCCUUCCCAAAAGUUCUCAGAACUACAGGAUUUUAACUAAAAGGAACUUUUAGUUAAUCUGGUCUCCUCUAACCAGCAUAAGUCUUACUACAAUAAUGUGGAUAAGUCAAGCCAAAGCAUUUAUUAACCCAAAUCACUUUAUGUAUUUUCUUAUUUCAUCUACUUUGUCACACUCAAUAAAAACUGAAGAUUACACUGGAGCAGAAAAAAAGAUUUAAAGAUAAUUCUAACCUUCUUUGGACACAGUUAAGGGCAGAGAACUGUGAUUGGUAGAGAGGAAUAAGAGAAAGCAGAGGAGUAGCUGGCCCAGAGAGGAAGCUAUGGAGAGAAAGGAGAUUCAGCAGAAGAAAGGGAUGUUUGGCCACAACAACCAAAGAUGUUGAUAACUCCUACCCACUUGUAUUAUCCACUCAAUCUCAGUGUUUGCUUCUGGAGAACCAAACCUGAAGUAGGCAGCUGACUGGAUGUUGGAAAAUCCUUUUUCAAGAUGGCUUACUCCUAUGACUGUCUCCAGGGGGCUGGCUCUUCUGCCCACCACCACCCCUACACUCCACUAUACCUUAUCAUCAAGAUGUUCUUGCAUGUAAAACUUAAUGAAGGUGCUUACUUACUUGGGCGUCAGCCUAAUAAUGUCUUCAGAGUAUCUGCUGGGAACACAGAACAGCACUCAAGUCAGAGGAGCAUACAAAGGAAACAAAGGAUAUAGCUCUGUUCUUCAGAAGACUAUAUUUGAAAUGAAGAGAAUGAUAGACAGAAACUGAAGUAUAUUUUUCCAAGGCAUCUUCUUCCAUUAUUUCCCAGUGCAGAUUCCAAGUGAAAACUGAGGAUACAUUAAAUUCUAAGGAAGUAUUGAUAUUGUGUGAUUUGUCAGGGCAGGUUAUAAUGUGGGUGUUGAAAUUGGAGCAGGAUGAAUUUGUUUUCAAAAACAACUUAUCAAGCCCUGUUUGAUCUUGACUUUAAAC
rnacentral:lncRNA from 13 species